UUUUGUUGGAGAGUUUGAUCCUGGCUCAGGACGAACGCUGGCGGCGUGCUUAACACAUGCAAGUCGAGCGGAAAGGCCCUUCGGGGUACUCGAGCGGCGAACGGGUGAGUAACACGUG
rnacentral:rRNA from 2 species